GUGCUCGCUUUGGCAGCACAUAUACUGAAAUUGGAACAAUACAGAGAAGGUUAGCAUAGCCCCUGCACAAGGAUGGCACACAAAUUCAUGAAGCGUCCCAUAUUUAA
rnacentral:snRNA from 1 species